rnacentral:rRNA from 1 species
GUACACUCCUACGGGAGGCAGCAGUGGGGAAUAUUGGACAAUGGGCGCAAGCCUGAUCCAGCCAUGCCGCGUGAGUGAUGAAGGCCCUAGGGUUGUAAAGCUCUUUCACCGGUGAAGAUAAUGACGGUAACCGGAGAAGAAGCCCCGGCUAACUUCGUGCCAGCAGCCGCGGUAAUACGAAGGGGGCUAGCGUUGUUCGGAUUUACUGGGCGUAAAGCGCACGUAGGCGGACUAUUAAGUCAGGGGUGAAAUCCCGGGGCUCAACCCCGGAACUGCCUUUGAUACUGGUAGUCUUGAGUUCGAGAGAGGUGAGUGGAAUUCCGAGUGUAGAGGUGAAAUUCGUAGAUAUUCGGAGGAACACCAGUGGCGAGGGCGGCUCACUGGCUCGAUACUGACGCUGAGGUGCGAAAGCGUGGGGAGCAAACAGGAUUAGAAACCCCAGUAGUCCCAUGAU